GCCCUGGCCCAGCUUUGGGAGUCAGAAGGGGAGUCAGACGAGGGGAAUUCAGGGGGAAUUUAUGUCUCCCGUGCUCUCCUGCAGUGCCCAAGUGAGGAUGGACCCGAGGGCAAGAUGAAGAGCAAGAGCCCUCAGGUCUCACUCCUGUCCCCAGGUGGAUGCUGCAGCUGCUGGGUGGGACCAGGGCCCGUGGGGAUGCCCCUGGUCCCUGCUGCCUGCGGGGCUGCCCCUCCCUGAGAGCUCUGGGGGUCUGCACCUCAUCCUGCCCUGGCAUGGCCCUCCCUGAGCCCGUCCUGAGCUGUGACAAUAAAACCAGCCCCUCCGGGGGCCUUUGGUCCCAAUAAAAACCCCAAACCCCUCUG